GACGAACGCUGGCGGCGUGCUUAACACAUGCAAGUCGAACGGAAAGGCCCUGCUUUUGUGGGGUGCUCGAGUGGCGAACGGGUGAGUAACACGUGAGUAACCUGCCCUUGACUUUGGGAUAACUUCAGGAAACUGGGGCUAAUACCGGAUAGGAGCUCCUGCUGCAUGGUGGGGGUUGGAAAGUUUCGGCGGUUGUGGAUGGACUCGCGGCUUAUCAGCUUGUUGGUGGGGUAGUGGCUUACCAAGGCUUUGACGGGUAGCCGGCCUGAGAGGGUGACCGGCCACAUUGGGACUGAGAUACGGCCCAGACUCGUACGGGAGGCAGCAGUGGGGAAUAUUGCACAAUGGGCGGAAGCCUGAUGCAGAAACGCCGCGUGCGGGAUGACGGCCUUCGGGUUGUAAACCGCUUUAGCCUGUGACGAAGCGUGAGUGACGGUAAUGGGUAAAGAAGCACCGGCUAACUACGUG
rnacentral:rRNA from 1 species